rnacentral:rRNA from 1 species
GGUGCUUGCACUUGGUGGCGAGUGGCGAACGGGUGAGUAAUACAUCGGAACAUGUCCUGUAGUGGGGGAUAGCCCGGCGAAAGCCGGAUUAAUACCGCAUACGAUCUACGGAUGAAAGCGGGGGACCUUCGGGCCUCGCGCUAUAGGGUUGGCCGAUGGCUGAUUAGCUAGUUGGUGGGGUAAAGGCCUACCAAGGCGACGAUCAGUAGCUGGUCUGAGAGGACGACCAGCCACACUGGGACUGAGACACGGCCCAGACUCCUACGGGAGGCAGCAGUGGGGAAUUUUGGACAAUGGGCGAAAGCCUGAUCCAGCAAUGCCGCGUGUGUGAGGAAGGCCUUCGGGUUGUAAAGCACUUUUGUCCGGAAAGAAAUCCUUGGUUCUAAUAUAGCCGGGGGAUGACGGUACCGGAAGAAUAAGCACCGGCUAACUACGUGCCAGCAGCCGCGGUAAUACGUAGGGUGCGAGCGUUAAUCGGAAUUACUGGGCGUAAAGCGUGCGCAGGCGGUUUGCUAAGACCGAUGUGAAAUCCCCGGGCUCAACCUGGGAACUGCAUUGGUGACUGGCAGGCUAGAGUAUGGCAGAGGGGGGUAGAAUUCCACGUGUAGCAGUGAAAUGCGUAGAGAUGUGGAGGAAUACCGAUGGCGAAGGCA